GACAGAGGUGCCGAGCGUUAGGCGGAAUCACUGGGCUUAAAGCGUGUGUAGGCGGAUGCCUAAGUACCUUGUGAAAUCCCACGGCUCAACCGUGGAACUGCUUGGUAUACUGGGCGUCUUGAGCCACUUAGGGGCAACCGGAACAAACGGUGGAGCGGUGAAAUGCGUAGAUAUCUGGAGGAACACCGGUGGCGAAGGCGGCGUCCUGGACCAACACUGACACUGAUGAGCGAAAGCCAGGGGAGCAAACGGG
rnacentral:rRNA from 1 species